rnacentral:antisense_RNA from 2 species
UUUUAUGGCGGCUGUGCGUGGAAGGCCUUCGGGCCUACCGGUUACCUUGAUUGCCGGGUCUCACACCACGCACGGCUGCCACCCAA